CCUACGGGAGGCUGCAGUAGGGAAUCUUCCACAAUGGGCGAAAGCCUGAUGCAGCAACGCCGCGUGGGUGAAGAAGGCCUUCGGAUCGUAAAACCCUGUUGUUAGAGAAGAAAGUGCGUGAGAGUAACUGUUCACGUUUCGACGGUAUCUAACCAGAAAGCCACAGCUAACUACGUGCCAGCAGCCGCGGUAAUACGUAGGUGGCAAGCGUUAUCCGGAUUUAUUGGGCGUAAAGGGAACGCAGGCGGUCUUUUAAGUCUGAUGUGAAAGCCUUCGGCUUAACCGGAGUAGUGCAUUGGAAACUGGGAGACUUGAGUGCAGAAGAGGAGAGUGGAACUCGAUGUGUAGCGGUGAAAUGCGUAGAGAUAUCGAAGAACACCAGUGGCGAAGGCGGCUCUCUGGUCUGUAACUGACGCUGAGGUUCGAAAGCGUGGGUAGCAAACAGGAUUAGAUACCCGAGUAGUC
rnacentral:rRNA from 1 species